UACAGAGGGUGCAAGCGUUAAUCGGAAUUACUGGGCGUAAAGCGUGCGUAGUCGGUUAUUUAAGUCGGGCGUGAAAGCCCCGGGCUCAACCUGGGAAUUGCGUUCGAUACUGGAUAGCUAGAGUUCGGCAGAGGGAAGCGGAAUUUCUGGUGUAGCGGUGAAAUGCGUAGAUAUCAGAAGGAACAUCAGUGGCGAAGGCGGGUCUCUGGGCAUUUCCUGACGCUGAGGCGCGAAAGCGUGGGGAGCAAACGGG
rnacentral:rRNA from 1 species